rnacentral:rRNA from 1 species
AGAGUUUGAUCCUGGCUCAGGACGAACGCUGGCGGCGUGCUUAACACAUGCAAGUCGAGCGGAGAUUGCAGCAAUGCAAUCUUAGCGGCGGACGGGUGAGUAACGCGUGGGCAACCUACCUUGAACAGGGGGAUAACACUGGGAAACUAGUGCUAAUACCGCAUAACAUCAUCGGAAGACAUCUUCUGAUGAUCAAAGGA